GAGUGUGUAUGUGUGUGCAUAGGUGUGUCUGCUCAUGUGUGCACACACACACAUUUGUAUGCCAU
rnacentral:pre_miRNA from 1 species